rnacentral:rRNA from 1 species
UGGGGAAUAUUGCACAAUGGGCGCAAGCCUGAUGCAGCCAUGCCGCGUGUAUGAAGAAGGCCUUCGGGUUGUAAAGUACUUUCAGCGGGGAGGAAGGGAGUAAAGUUAAUACCUUUGCUCAUUGACGUUACCCGCAGAAGAAGCACCGGCUAACUCCGUGCCAGCAGCCGCGGUAAUACGGAGGGUGCAAGCGUUAAUCGGAAUUACUGGGCGUAAAGCGCACGCAGGCGGUUUGUUAAGUCAGAUGUGAAAUCCCCGGGCUCAACCUGGGAACUGCAUCUGAUACUGGCAAGCUUGAGUCUCGUAGAGGGGGGUAGAAUUCCAGGUGUAGCGGUGAAAUGCGUAGAGAUCUGGAGGAAUACCGGUGGCAAGGCGGCCCCCUGGACGAAGACUGACGCUCAGGUGCGAAAGCGUGGGGCAGCAAACAGGAUUAGAUACCCUGGUAG